UGGUCCGUUGGUCAAGGGGUUAAGACACAGCCUUUUCACGGCGGUAACACGGGUUCGAAUCCCGUACGGACUAUC
rnacentral:tRNA from 1 species